rnacentral:rRNA from 1 species
GACGAACGCUGGCGGCGUGCUUAACACAUGCAAGUCGAACGGAAAGGCCCUGCUUUUGUGGGGUGCUCGAGUGGCGAACGGGUGAGUAACACGUGAGUAACCUGCCCUUGACUUUGGGAUAACUUCAGGAAACUGGGGCUAAUACCGGAUAGGAGCUCCUGCUGCAUGGUGGGGGUUGGAAAGUUUCGGCGGUUGGGGAUGGACUCGCGGCUUAUCAGCUUGUUGGUGGGGUAGUGGCUUACCAAGGCUUUGACGGGUAGCCGGCCUGGGAGGGUGACCGGCCACAUUGGGACUGAGAUACGGACCAGACUCCUACGGGCGGCAGCAGUGGGGAAUAUUGCACAAUGGGCGGAAGCCUGAUGCAGAAACGCCGCGUGCGGGAUGCCGGCCUUCGGGUUGUAAACCGAUUUCGACUGUGACGAAGCGUGCGUGACGGUAAUGGGUAAAGAAGCACCGGCUAACUACGUG